UACGUAGGGUGCGAGCGUUGUCCGGAAUUAUUGGGCGUAAAGAGCUCGUAGGCGGUGUGUCACGUCGGCCGUGAAAACCUGCAGCUUAACUGUGGGCGUGCGGUCGAUACGGGCAUCACUGGAGUUCGGCAGGGGAGACUGGAAUUCCUGGUGUAGCGGUGAAAUGCGCAGAUAUCAGGAGGAACACCGGUGGCGAAGGCGGGUCUCUGGGCCGACACUGACGCUGAUGCGCGAAAGCUAGGGGAGCAAACGGG
rnacentral:rRNA from 1 species